GACGAACGCUGGCGGCGUGCUUAACACAUGCAAGUCGAACGGACUGUUCCCAGCUUGCUGGGGAUGGUCAGUGGCGAACGGGUGAGUAACACGUGAGCAACCUGCCCCCGACUCUGGGAGUAGCCUCGGGAAACCGGGGAUUAAUACCGGAUAUGACAUCAGCGCGCAUGCGGUGGUGUGGAAAGUUUUUUCGGUCGGGGAUGGGCUCGCGGCCUAUCAGCUUGUUGGUGGGGUGANGGCCUACCAAGGCGACGACGGGUAGCCGGCCUGAGAGGGCGACCGGCCACACUGGGACUGAGACACGGCCCAGACUCCUACGGGAGGCAGCAGUGGGGAAUAUUGCGCAAUGGGCGAAAGCCUGACGCAGCGACG
rnacentral:rRNA from 1 species